UACGUAGGGUGCGAGCGUUGUUCGGAAUUAUUGGGCGUAAAGAGCUCGUAGGCGGUUUGUUGCGUCGGCUGUGAAAUCCCGAGGCUCAACCUCGGGUCUGCAGUCGAUACGAGCAAACUAGAGUGUUGCAGGGGAGACUGGAAUUCCUGGUGUAGCGGUGAAAUGCGCAGAUAUCAGGAGGAACACCGGUGGCGAAGGCGGGUCUCUGGGCAACAACUGACGCUGAGGAGCGAAAGCGUGGGGAGCGAACAGG
rnacentral:rRNA from 1 species